CACGUAGGGCGCAAGCGUUGUCCGGAAUUAUUGGGCGUAAAGAGCUCGUAGGCGGUCUGUUGCGUCCGCUGUGAAAACUCGGGGCUUAACCCCGAGCCUGCAGUGGAUACGGGCAGACUAGAGGUAGGUAGGGGAGAAUGGAAUUCCCGGUGUAGCGGUGAAAUGCGCAGAUAUCAGGAGGAACACCGAUGGCGAAGGCAGGUCUCUGGGCAGUAACUGACGCUGAGGCGCGAAAGCAUGGGGAGCGAACAGG
rnacentral:rRNA from 1 species